rnacentral:rRNA from 1 species
ACGCUCGACACCUACGGAAGGCAGCAGUAGGGAAUCUUCCACAAUGGGCGCAAGCCUGAUGGAGCAACACCGCGUGAGUGAAGAAGGGUUUCGGCUCGUAAAGCUCUGUUGUUGGAGAAGAACGUGCGUGAGAGUAACUGUUCACGCAGUGACGGUAUCCAACCAGAAAGUCACGGCUAACUACGUGCCAGCAGCCGCGGUAAUCUGAGGCGGGCUGGCAAGGC